GAUGAACGCUGGCGGCGUGCCUAAUACAUGCAAGUCGAGCGAACGGACGAGAAGCUUGCUUCUCUGAUGUUAGCGGCGGACGGGUGAGUAACACGUGGAUAACCUACCUAUAAGACUGGGAUAACUUCGGGAAACCGGAGCUACUACCGGAUAAUAUUUUGAACCGCAUGGUUCAAAAGUGAAAGACGGUCUUGCUGUCACUUAUAGAUGGAUCCGCGCUGCAUUAGCUAGUUGGUAAGGUAACGGCUUACCAAGGCAACGAUGCAUAGCCGACCUGAGAGGGUGAUCGGCCAGACGGGAAGUGAGACACGGUCCAGACACCUAGGGGAGGCAGCAGUAGGGAAUCUUCCGCAAUGGGGGAAAGCCUGACGGAGCAACGCCGCGUGAGUGAUGAAGGUCUUCGGAUCGUAAAACUCUGUUAUUAGGGAAGAAGAUAUGUGUAAGUAACUGUGCACAUCUUGACGGUACCUAAACAGAAAGCCACGGCUAACUACGUG
rnacentral:rRNA from 1 species